GAGAUCUUACUCUUGUUUAAUAUGAAGACUUUUGUAUUAUGUCAAAUGACUUUCCAACAGUAUUAUCAUGGCUUUGGCAAUGCCUUGAGAGUUUCUUUCUCUUAAGGACACUUUAAUUAAAUAAUUAAUUAAUUAAAACCACAUUAUUCCAGAUACUGCCCACAGAGUGGAGGUUCAGGACACUACUUUCCCUUCUAUCCUUUUGUUUCUUUCUGAACCCAUCUUCCCUUCAACUCAGCUUGCUCAAAAUAAUUACAAUGAAAAUGCCAGUACAAGAGAACUAACAGUGAUCUGGUAUCAAUGUGUUUGAUACAAUGGUCUCAUUUCCAUAGAAGUAAGUAGGUGUGCCCUCUCCCAGGGUAGUCCAUGCAAAUUACCAUUUGCCCCUUUUUCCUGCUUUUCCUGUCUGCUUUUUUGGGGAUGACUUGGUCUGAGGUACUUAAGGAAAUGUUGCAAAAGGGUCAUGGUGAUUCUGUAGCCAGAAAGCACUACUCUUCAUACUAUGUGUUUCUUAAGGUCAGCAUAUGUUACUUUUAUUCCUCAAGAAUUUGAUGUUUUGUAUCAGUAUGAUUUGAUAUAUUUGAAUUAGCUGUAACUGACAAAAUUACCUGACUGAAAAAAAUAGUUACAUCUGAUAUUAUUAAUUUUUACUCUGUAAUUAUUGAUUGUAGUAGAUUAUGUUGUAUCCUAGUUAGUGACAUGAGCAAUUAAUUAGUAAAUUUAUCUAGAAUAACCAAAUAUCAAAAAAAUUAUUAGAAACUGAUUAGAAAAAUUCUCAUGUGUAAUAUAGGCUAUAGAGCACAUAAUAUCUCGCUCGUUCCAAGUAUAAUCAUAGCUUGAUUAACUCUAUCAGUUAAUAUUUCCUUUAUGAAGCAGGAAGUUCCUGUGUAUUUCUGACUCGUCUGCAGUGACUUACAGCUCAGAGACCUGAGAGACUCAACAGAGAACUGAUCUGACUGAACAUGGACAGAUGUGUCAUACUGAUUCUCAUUGUGGGGACAGGUUUGGUGGACGGAAACAACAUUGAUCCAGAUAAAGGGACAAUGAAAAACUCUAAAGAAACAGACACUGUCAAGCUGAGCUGUUCAUAUAGUACAACUAGUGAACGUAUUUGGCUUUACUGGUACAGACAGUAUCCUAACAGAGAACUACAGUAUUUAUUAUAUAAAGGAGCAAGAUCACGUUCUGAUUCACACACAUCUGAUUCUCGGUUCCAGUCGACUACAUCAGAAACAUCCACUGAACUCACUAUUACUGAUGUACGUCUAUCUAGUGAAAACCACAAUCAAAACCACAAUCUAUCCAGCUCUGAAUGUAAUAAAAUAUGUGGUCACACCUGUCAGAGGCUCAAUUAGGCCCGUUAUAAAACUUAGAGUAGCAUUAAAAUCCAUACAGGAUGUCAUUCUCCAUGUGGUUACUUCAGUGAACAAACGCAUGUCUUAAUUUCCACCUGAAACGUUUCAAUCAAAUGUAAAAUUCUGUAUAAUGUAUAAAAUAAUUUAAUAAAAUAAUAAUUUAAAAAACAUGGAUUGCAACCAAACCUCAAGACAAUUGCAUGCAUGCUGAAAUUCAGUACGGCUAAGGAUAUUAUAUAUGACUAUAUAGCAGUCAACAUUUAAAGUGAAUCAAAUCAUUUUAUCAAACUAGCCCUAAAACCUAGAACCAUUAUAUGUUCUUGACUAAGGACAACUUUGAUUAACCUUUUUGAUCCACUUCAAAUGUUGACUACUGGAUUUAGUAGGCACUAAACAUUACUGCAGCUUUUAUAUGUCUCCACAAUCUCCUCAAUCAUUGUUAGAAUACCAUAAGUAAUAUUCACUGAUUUUACAAUAGACUUGAUGUAUUCAGCAUUUCACAAUGCGUUACAAUAUUUACUGACACUGACUGUAGCAAAAGCAGCCAACAGUUCAAGUUUAAAUCUACUAUCAUGUGUAACACAUAGUGCAUUAGUGCAGAUAUAAUGUGCUUUUAAAAGUGUUUUUAGUUUUUGUCUAUUUUUUUAUUUCAUCUUUUUUUUUCUAAACCUAUUAUUAUGAAAACUAAAAUACAUUUUAAUGUGACAUAGUGACUUCAAACACCUUUGUGAGGUUAAGGGAAGAAUAUUUUAUAAAAUAAUCAAAAGAGCAAUAAAUAAAGAAAUAAAUAAACAGGUAAAAUGCUUAAAGGUGUUUCAGGUUGAAAAUAUUUAGAACUUGUAUGUAUCUUAAAAAUGAUAGACAGAAAAUAGUUCACAUAUAGCAGUAAUGAGGAAAAUAUUCUUACAAAAUAAAGCUUUUACUUUGAAGAAUCAAAAGAGGAGGGACUCGAUGUAGUAAUGUCUGACAGAGACUGGUUGAAAUCAUUCAGUCUGACUCUUCUCAGAGUAAACACUUGUACAAUGAAUCUUCAUUCAGUUAUUCUGUUCUGUGUCUCAACCGGUGUUGUCUUUGGAAAUGUCAUCCAACCAAACAAAACAGAUGUUUUUGCUGAGAAGGGUUCAAAUGUUACAUUAUCCUGUAGUUUUACUGACUCUAUCAAUACAGAAUAUCUCCACUGGUACCGUC